rnacentral:tRNA from 1 species
GGACAUAUAACUCAGGUGGUUAGAGUAUCACGUUGACAUCGUGAAUGUCACUGGUUCAAAUCCAGUUAUGUCCA